rnacentral:rRNA from 1 species
CAGUCGUACCUUCGGGUAAUCAGCCUUUCGGGUGCGAUUCUGUGGAGUUUGAGGAGCUUAACACCUUCAUGUUUUGCAUAUUCGUGCACUUUGGGUGUACUUGCCCGUAUGGUUGGUUAACAUCAAUUUUGGUCGUCAUAAAAUGACUGGAGGAAUGUAGCUUUGGUCUCGUAUCGAAGUGUUAUAGACUCUGGUAGAUGUGACGAUUGGGAUUGAGGAUUGCAACGGAUACCUUUCGGGGCUACCUGUCUGGUCUCUG